rnacentral:rRNA from 1 species
GACGAACGCUGGCGGCGUGCCUAAUACAUGCAGGUUGAGCGCUGAAGGUUGGUACUUGUACCAACUGGAUGAGCAGCGAACGGGUGAGUAACGCGUGGGGAAUCUGCCUUUGAGCGGGGGACAGCAUUUGGAAACGAAUGCUAAUACCGCAUAAAAACUUUAAACACAAGUUUUAAGUUUGAAAGAUGCAAUUGCAUCACUCAAAGAUGAUCCCGCGUUGUAUUAGCUAGUUGGUGAGGUAAAGGCUCACCAAGGCGAUGAUACAUAGCCGACCUGAGAGGGUGAUCGGCCACAUUGGGACUGAGACACGGCCCAAACUCCUACGGGAGGCAGCAGUAGGGAAUCUUCGGCAAUGGACGAAAGUCUGACCGAGCAACGCCGCGUGAGUGAAGAAGGUUUUCGGAUCGUAAAACUCUGUUGGUAGAGAAGAACGUUGGUGAGAGUGGAAAGCUCAUCAAGUGACGGUAACUACCCAGAAAGGGACGGCUAACUACGUG